GUCAGAUGGGCUCAUGUUUGCUCCUGGGCAUGUCCACAUACAGGUCACAUAGAAAGGGCCUCAGAUGGAAGGUGAAACUGAUGAAUGCACUGGAUGAACAUCAAGCUGCAAGUCACAUGAUAGUAUGGGCCUCAGAUGGAAGGCAAAACUGAUGAAGGUGCUGGUGAACAUCACGCUGCAUGAAAAAAUAGGCUACAUCUGUCGUCACUGGCAUCGCAAGUAUUAAAGGCUGAAGUGUUAAUUCAC